rnacentral:rRNA from 1 species
CUACAGGGGUAUCUAAUCCUGUUUGCUCCCCACGCUUUCGCGUCUCAGCGUCAGUCACUGUCCAGAAGGCCGCCUUCGCCACCGGUGUUCCGCUUGAUAUCUACGAAUUUCACCUCUACACCAAGCAUUCCACCUUCCUCUCCAGGACUCUAGCCCUGCAGUUUCGAGUGCACUUCCACGGUUGAGCCGUGGGAUUUCACACCCGACUUGCAGGGCCGCCUACACGCGCUUUACGCCCAGUAAUUCCGAACAACGUUUGCACCCUCUGUCUUACCGCGGCUGCUGGCAC